UACGUAGGGACCAAGCGUUGUUCGGAUUUACUGGGCGUAAAGGGCGCGUAGGCGGCUUAACAAGUCACUUGUGAAAUCUCCGGGCUUAACUCGGAACGGCCAAGUGAAACUGUCAAGCUAGAGUGCAGAAGGGGCGAUCGGAAUUCUUGGUGUAGCGGUGAAAUGCGUAGAUAUCAAGAGGAACACCUGAGGUGAAGACGGGUUGCUGGGCUGACACUGACGCUGAGGCGCGAAAGCCAGGGGAGCAAACGGG
rnacentral:rRNA from 1 species